UCCGCGAAGGCCCCAGAGGGAGGCGGCCAUGACUGCGUGACCAUCCUGACCGAGGUGAUCAAGUCGGCUGUCUGGUUCCAGAAACACGUGUGUGAGGCCUGGAUCAAGGCUAUAGAGGGUGUAGAUAAUGCGGAUGACCACAAGGUCACAGACUUCUUGGUCCUCCUCAUCCUUUACUCCACCAACCCCAACAGCAAGAAACAGGUGGAGCGCGUGCUGAGGAGCCAGAUCCGCCGCGGCUUCAUCACCGGCCGC